CUACACUGCAAAAAAUGGGAAAGAAACAGAAUGGGAAGAGUAAAAAAGCUGAAGAGGCAGAACCUGAAGAAUUUGUAGUAGAAAAAGUACUGGACCGACUUGUAGUGAAUGGGAAGGUGGAGUAUUUCCUGAAGUGGAAGGGAUUUACAGAUGCAGACAAUACCUGGGAACCUGAAGAAAAUUUAGAUUGUCCAGACUUAAUUGAAGCAUUUCUUAAUUCUCACAAAGCUGGUAAAAGAAAAGAUGGAACAAAAAAUCUUUAUCUGACAGUGAAUCUGACGAUAGCAAAUCAAAGAAAAGAGAUGGUGCUGAUAAACCAAGAGGUUUUGCCAGAGGUCUUGAUCCAGAACAUUAUAUAAUUGGUGCCAGAGACAGCAGUGGAGAAUUGAUGUUUCUCAUGAAAUGGAAGGAUUCAGAUGAGGCAGACUUGGUGCUGGUAAAGGAGGCAAAUAUGAAGUGUCCUCAAAUUGUAAUUGCUUUUUAUGAAGAAAGACUAACUUGGCAUUCUUGUCCAGAAGAUGAAGCUCAAUAAUUGUUUGCAUUGCUUUUUAUAUAUAUUUUUAUAUAUAUAUAAAAUCUGUGUCUUGGUUUUUUGAUUUAUUAGUGUGAAGAAAUAACUACAUUCUAAUGAAAAUCAAGUUUGAUAUGUUCUUUUGAAGUAGUAUUGGGGAAGUUGUUGGGUUUUUGUUUUGUCUUUUUGCAUCUGUAGCACUGGUUACUUUGAACAAAUAAAAGCUUUCUGUAGUUGCUUCCUUUAGCAGAAAAGAACAUUUGAUACCACAGUAUGUUAUUUCCUCUGCAUUAGAGAACAGCUUUUCUAAAUGUUGGGAGAAGUCUCCAUAGUCAUUACUCAAUCAGAAUUUAGAAUUUGCACUUAACUCAUAUAUGCCUAAGGACCAUUCUGGGUUUUUUGAAUGUGUAUACAUAAAAUAUAUAUGUAAAUGGUUUGGGGUUUUUUGUUGUUGUUUAAAUACAUUUACCAAAACAAAAACAGCUUUUCACAGCCAUGAAUAAGCCCAUGUUUCUGGGAUUCCAUCAUUUUGAGCAGUAUAAGAAAUCACUUCAACUUAAAAUGAAAAAUUUAAGUCUUAACAUUUCAAAUUAAAUAAUUUUGUAAUUAAGUAGACAAAUUAAACAAUUUAAAUUGGAUAAUUUUUUAAAGCAGUCCUAUCAGAAUCUGCAUCCAUAUCUACAGUCAUAUAAAUGUACUUUAAUAUGCAAAACCCCUAAAAGGAAAAUUUUAUCACUAUCAACAACCUCCCCCCCCCAAAUGAAAAAACUAGCAAAUAUCUGGUUUAAUUAGCCAAGCAAGACUUAGUUAACCGGACAUUUAAAGGUUCCUUUUGGUGAAUCACUGUUUUACAAGAAGUUGAAAUCCCUGUGCUAUAUUUACUGAAAGGCUGUGAUACAUGUAAUGUCUCAGACUUGUUCAUGGAAACCUAAUCAGAUGGUUAGAGAUGUUGGCAAUAUAGGAUCUGCAGGAAUAAAUGACUAAUCUAAACUUGAUCUGCAUGUUUUUUUCAAACUUUACCCCAACCCAUUUGUUACGUGUACACUCAGUCUUCUCAGUAUUUGGGGUUACUGGUUCAGCAGAAGCCAGGAAAAACAAUAACUUUGCAGUAAUCAGAAUGUUAUUCAACUGUAUAUUGUUUACUUCAUUGUAAAUACUGGUGAACAGUGGUCAAUAAAUAGUUUUAUAUUAAAAAAAAAGUAUAUUUGACAUUUUAUUUAACUUUAAUAAAGUGAAUAACUUCCUGGAAUGAACAGUUUCUUCUCACUGACCAAAAAAUAAAAUCUGGAAUGAAAAGUACUUAUUUAAACUAAACAAACAAGUGAAUACUAUUGACCAAAAGAUGGCCACAUGAAACCACAGCUUCAAUAUCACAGCACAGUUCACCUAUGUACAUUAGGGUUUUUUCCUUACCUGUAUAUUUUGAGAUUAUUUCUUCAAAUGUUAUUUAAGUAAGGAACCUACUUAACAAAACAGCCUGAAAAUUUAAUACCAACAAAAUGUCUACAAAAUAUAAAGUAAUUCUCUGUAAACCUAUUUCAAAGGGCAAUUAUAAUUUAAUUUGUAGAAACCAGAAUUACCUGGAGGGCUUUGAAAAAUAAAACCAUAAUAGGGGCUUCCCUGGUAGUGCAGUGGUUAGGAAUCCGCCUCCCAACGCAGGGGACACGGGUUCAAGGCCUGGUCCGGGAAGAGCCCACAGGCCGUGGAGCAACUAAG